rnacentral:rRNA from 1 species
GACGAACGCUGGCGGCGUGCCUAAUACAUGCAAGUCGAGCGAAGCGGCGGAUGGGUGAGUAACGCGUGGGUAACGUGCCCUUAAGACUGGGAUACGAUGUGGAAACAGAUGCUAAUACAGGAUACUACAGGAUGGACCUGCGAUGUAUUAGCUAGAUGGUACGGUAAGGGCUUACCAAGGCGAGGAUGCAGAGCCGAGUUGAGAGACGGAUCGGCCACAUUGGGAUUGAGACACGGCCCAAACGCCUACGGGAGGCAGCAGUAGGGAAUCUGCCACAAUGGACGAAAGUCUGAGGGAGCAACGCCGGGGGAGUGAAGAAGGUUUUCGGAUCGUAAAGCUCUGUUGUUGGUGAAGCGGUAAUCAACCAGAAAGUCCCGGCUAACUACGUGCCAGCAGCGCGGUAAUAC